rnacentral:lncRNA from 1 species
CGACGACCGUCGGACUAUGCUCGGAGAUCGGCAGGGCGGUGGUUAUUGCUUUGUAUACCGCCAACCUGGGUGUCCAUAGUAUAUCUCUGGGUGGCUGAAAGCCUGAAAUAUUGAAGGGCCGCUCGGAAAAUUGAAGCUCUGCAAGGGGUCGAAGCUCCGGGAGGAUUAAAGCUUCGCUGGGUACUGAAGCUUUGCUGAGAUUGAAACGUAGCUGAGAUUUAAGUUCCGCUGGGGACCGAAUUUCCGCUGGGGAUCGAAGCUUCGCUGAUGGCUGGGAGUGAAGCUUCGCCGCGUGCUGUCGCUGUCCGCUGGGCCUCGUUGGCGGAAGUUGCUGGGUUACCGCUGGGUGGCCGCUGCACAUUCUGGAACUGCAGACAUCGAGGUCGAUGAUGAUGAGUGAACGAGAAUGAGCACGAGAAGCCAUCGAGCCUAGCGGGAGAGUUGCCGCUGACGGGGAUUAAUUAGCGGAGGAAAGUGCCGCUGAUCGUGCUUAGCGGAGGAAGCUCGGGUCAGCGGUGGUGAAGUUUUUGGCCUGCGGAGGAUGACUCGGCGGAGGAGCUUGGUCGGAGGUUGCCAAGCGGAGAUUGUCUUGGUGGGCGGAGGUUUUGCCGCUGGUGCUCAAGAGUCCGGCGGAGACUCAAGAGUCUGGCGGAGACCGGAGGGUCCGGCGGUGGCUGAAGAGUUCGGCGGAUGCUCAAAGUGUGGCGGAGAUUUGGAACUCAGCGGAGCGGAGCUCUUUCCUAGCGGAGGUUUUGCUCGACGGAGGCCUGGCUAGCGGAAGAGUUCAGCGGAGACCCUUCCGGCGAUGAAGCUCAGCGGUGGUCGGUGGAGCGGAGAAGGAUAGUUGGGCGGAGCUCAGAGCUCAGCGGAGAUGGCAAACCUGGAGCUCGGCGGAGACUCGCUUGGCGGAGGCCUGCCGGCGGAUGUGAAGCUCAGCGGUGAACAGUCCAGCGGAGGCUUGGUUUGCUAGUGGAGGAUGCCGGCGGGGGUCCCCUGGCGGACGACUCUCCGGCGGAGGGCCUGGAGCUGCAACCUGGCGGAGGAGUAGGCCAGCGGAGCAUGAAGAUAGUCCGGCGGAGCG